rnacentral:lncRNA from 7 species
AUUUAAGGGUUGGCAGUUGAGGUAAAUGUAUCCUGCUGGAGAUCCCAGUCUACCUGAGGCCUUCCGAUAGUAAGAAAGAAAGGAAGGAAGGAAGGAAGGAAGGAAGGAAAGGAAGAAAGAAAGGAUGCUGAUAAAACAGAAAACAUCUGAACAGCUCUAUGUUAUGGAGAACAAUUCAAACCCACUUGUUCAAGUAUACCUUUCCAAUGAGCAUGCCAUACUGUGUGUUGUGUAUAAGAAGGCACAGCAGGCAGUGAAGUGCUUAAGCCCUCCCCUCCUCACUUUCUGAUUCGGAAGACAUAUUUACAAAUCACAUUGUACAGGAGGCUUCCAGACUUUGAAUACCCGUAAGCAAGGCAUCUUCUGCAUUGUGCAUAAGAGGAACCCCAUUCACUGGAGCCUGGAAACAGAACCAUUUCCCUGAAUGUGAUCCACAAUCCGCAAACUCAAAACUUCUUACUGUACAAUGCAAUGGAUAAUCUUUGUCAGUCCUCUUAUACGUUGCCCAUCAGGAAGUUUACAAAAUGCCUUGUGGAUUUUGAAGAAACCCUGUAACAAGAGAUGCAGUCUUACACAAUUCUUAGUGUGCCCUUUUGCUUCUGAGUUGUUCCAGGAAGCGUCUGCCUAGGGUGAAAGCCAUUUCUUUAGGAUGCAGCCUGAAUAGAAGUUUUGCUCCUCACGGCAUUUUGAAAGUAAGCUGUUCUCAAUCUUGUGCAGAGUUUAUUUGGAAGGUGUCAUUCCCUGGUAACUGAGAGUAAAAUGCUAAAGUUUCUUAUAAGCUAUCACACCAACAGAGCGAAACAAGCCUGCCCCAGAGACUCUUCUUUAAACAAACAUAGCUAGAGAUUGAAAAAUGGGAAUCGUCAAGAAACUAAAUCAGUUCAGAGCAAUGCAGCUUUUUAAUCUGCUGGAAAAAAAAAAAUAGAAUGUUUGAUCAAAACUUUUUCUCUCGGCAGCUAAAAAUUGCCCAGAUCCUGGUCUCACUGUGCACCCCUGCCCUGAGUCAUGGGUUGUUUGUGCGAUUACAGGAGAGGUUUAGAAGCAACCUAAUGCAAAAGCUGUACUCUGACUUACAAACCAAUCAGCAGAGCACACGCGGGUCUGACGAAAGGUCUGAAAUCAUUUUUCAGCAGCUUAGGAUGGCCUUCAACUUGAAACCAGAGAAAUAACUUGGAAAUAAAAAUCUUUUCAGAC